AACGAACGCUGGCGGCAUGCCUAACACAUGCAAGUCGAACGAGAUCUUCGGGUCUAGUGGCGCGCGGGUGCGUAACGCGUGGGAAUCUGCCCUUUGGUUCGGAAUAACAGUUGGAAACGACUGCUAAUACCGGAUGAUGACGAAAGUCCAAAGAUUUAUCGCCAGAGGAUGAGCCCGCGUAGGAUUAGCUAGUUGGUGUGGUAAAGGCGCACCAAGGCGACGAUCCUUAGCUGGUCUGAGAGGAUGAUCAGCCACACUGGGACUGAGACACGGCCCAGACUCCUACGGGAGGCAGCAGUGGGGAAUAUUGGACAAUGGGCGAAAGCCUGAUCAGCAAUGCCGCGUGGGUGAUGAAGGCCUUAGGGUUGUAAAGCUCUUUUACCCGGGAUGAUAAUGACAGUACCGGGAGAAUAAGCUCCGGCUAACUCCGUGCCAGCCGCCGCCGUAA
rnacentral:rRNA from 1 species